rnacentral:rRNA from 1 species
UACGGGGGGGGCAAGCGUUGUUCGGAAUUACUGGGCGUAAAGGGUUUGUAGGUGGCCCGCUAAGUCACACGUGAAAUCCCUCAGCUUAACUGGGGAACUGCGUGUGAGACUGGCAGGCUCGAGGGCAGGAGAGGAACGCGGAAUUCCAGGUGUAGCGGUGAAAUGCGUAGAUAUCUGGAGGAACACCGGUGGCGAAGGCGGCGUUCUGGACCGGUAUUGACGCUGAGGCGCGAAAGCCAGGGGAGCAA